ACCAGGCCCCGAGAACUUCGUGCUGCUGUCGGGCCGCUGCCUCAACGUGUCACGACCGACACGUACCGGGGUCGAGCAAGCCGCUGCCGUGGGCCGAGCGCGGGAGCGGUGCAGGGCCAUGGCCGCCGGGGAGUGGGCCGCCGACCUGGCCAGCGUGGACCUCCCGCUGCUCGCCGCCUUCACGGACUUCAUCAGGAAGCACAUUCCCGGCAUGAGCACCUACGUCUUCUGGGCGGGCGCGCGCAAGGUGGACGGCGAGUGGCAGGCGCUGGACGGCACGCCCAUCGACCCCCUCGGCUACUUGUAAGUGCC